UACGUAGGGUGCGAGCGUUGUCCGGAAUUAUUGGGCGUAAAGGGCUCGUAGGCGGUUUGUCGCGUCGGGAGUGAAAACCAGGUGCUUAACACCUGGCUUGCUUUCGAUACGGGCAGACUAGAGGUAUGCAGGGGAGAACGGAAUUCCUGGUGUAGCGGUGAAAUGCGCAGAUAUCAGGAGGAACACCGGUGGCGAAGGCGGUUCUCUGGGCAUUACCUGACGCUGAGGAGCGAAAGCGUGGGGAGCAAACAGG
rnacentral:rRNA from 1 species